CCGCGGUAAUACGGAGGGUGCAAGCGUUAAUCGGAAUUACUGGGCGUAAAGCGCACGCAGGCGGUUUGUCAAGUCGGAUGUGAAAUCCCCGGGCUCAACCUGGGAACUGCAUUCGAAACUGGCAAGCUAGAGUCUUGUAGAGGGGGGUAGAAUUCCAGGUGUAGCGGUGAAAUGCGUAGAGAUCUGGAGGAAUACCGGUGGCGAAGGCGGCCCCCUGGACAAAGACUGACGCUCAGGUGCGAAAGCGUGGGGAGCAAACAGGAUUA
rnacentral:rRNA from 1 species